UACGUAGGUGGCAAGCGUUGUCCGGAUUUAUUGGGUUUAAAGGGUGCGUAGGCGGUCUUCUAAGUCAGUUGUGAAAUACUUCAGCUUAACUGGAGAGGUGCAAUUGAUACUGGAAGACUUGAGUACUGAUGAGGUAGGCGGAAUGGACGGUGUAGCGGUGAAAUGCUUAGAUAUCGUCAAGAACACCUAUAGCGAAGGCAGCUUACUAGGCUGUAACUGACGCUGAGGCACGAAAGUGUGGGGAUCAAACAGG
rnacentral:rRNA from 1 species